GAUAAAAGCAGAUUCUUUGGUUUUAUAUCAUACAGGUCAAAUUUCACAUCUUAUCACAUCACAAGCUCCCUAAAUGUGGCAGUCCAGAUAUUGCUUCUAUUCGUCACCUCAACAUGGAGCAGCUUACCAAAGCACUUACAUCUCUAUUUAAUCUCUAUGAAGCAAAUCGAGCCCCACAUUCGAUUUAUAAGGAUGAAGCAGAAUUCCAUUCAUAUUAUGUGCUUCUCCAUCUCUGUUCUGACAACCAGGGCGAGUCACUCUCUUUGUGGUUCCGUCAUGUUCCCUUUGUAAUCAUGAAGUCAAAAGAGAUGUGUUUUGCCCGGAGAAUAUUGAGAUUUUUCCGAUUGGGAAAUUACAAGCAAUUAAUCUAUACUACAGAGGCAGAGGCAUCCUACCUGCAGUAUUGCAUUAUUGAACGUUACAUCAGUGAGAUACGAGCAUUAGCCUUGUCUUGUGUAAAUUAUGGAGGAUACAAGCUUCAACCAUAUCCACUGACACACCUGUCCAACCUCCUCAUGAUGCAAGAAUCAGAUUUGGAAUCUCUCUGUGUUGAUUGUGGUCUUCAAACGUCCAGUGAUGGAAUCGGAAAGGUGCUGUUGUCCACUAAGCUAACAAGUUCAUGCAAUCCCAAAAGGGAGUACCAGAAAUACUGUGAACUGGUUUCAGAACGAUUAGAGAGGUUAGCUGCUGAAGUAUCAGAGCUGUGAUAUUUGCAAAUUUCUCUCUCAUUGAAGUACCUUAGAGGAAAAUCAGUUCUUAGCAAGCAAUUUAUCUACUUGACUGAACUGUAGAAAAUUUCUACUUAGCCAGAGAUAAGUACAGCUCUUACGUCUAUAUAUUGACAGCAGAAUCGUCCUUCAACUGCAGCCUGCUGUAAGAGUGAAGAAGAAGAACACGUUGGAAAACUUCUUUAGCUUCUCUCUUAACCCUUCAGCCAUUAACUCAUAAAUUUCUGUCGCUGAUGCAGCAGGUUCCAGGUCUUGUAAAUUAACUUCCAUAUUCGGUUCAAUUCUCGUUCUCCUGAUAAUGGGAUUUCCCAUGGUGCUAUUCUCGUUCUGCAUGUAACCCUAAGUUUAGCAGAGUUACUAGAAAAAAAUUGCUUUCAUAGUGUGAUUGCAGGGGUAGUAAGCUUCAGUUUAUGGGGCUGGUCUCUGACUCGAAAUGGAGAUGGAGAGAACAAGAAAAGGAACACGAAAGAAAAUGAGUGGAGGGAUGGCAUGUAUAAUGUGUAUGGCAUAGAACCUUUCAGUCUUUGAUUUCGAAACUUAGUUCAUGAAUCUUGUUGUGUACUAUGUUUCUAAAUGAGGGGUUGCGACUAUGCGUGUUUAAA